AUAGUAACGCAAUGAAUAGCGCAUUGGACUUCUAAUCCUAAGGUCGAGGGUUUGAAUCCUUCCUGGAAUA